AGAGUUUGAUCCUGGCUCAGAGUGAACGCUGGCGGUAGGCCUAACACAUGCAAGUCGAACGGCAGCACAGUAAGAGCUUGCUCUUAUGGGUGGCGAGUGGCGGACGGGUGAGGAAUACAUCGGAAUCUACCUUUUCGUGGGGGAUAACGUAGGGAAACUUACGCUAAUACCGCAUACGACCUUCGGGUGAAAGCAGGGGACCUUCGGGCCUUGCGCGGAUAGAUGAGCCGAUGUCGGAUUAGCUAGUUGGCGGGGUAAAGGACCACCAAGGCGACGAUCCGUAGCUGGUCUGAGAGGAUGAUCAGCCACACUGGAACUGAGACACGGGCCAGACUCCUACGGGAGGCAGCAUUGGGGAAUAUUGGACAAUGGGCGCAAGCCUGAUCCAGCCAUACCGCGUGGGUGAAGAAGGCCUUCGGGUUGUAAAGUCCUUUUGUUGGGAAAGAAAAGCAAUCGGCUAAUACCCGGUUGUUCUGACGGCACCCAAAGAAUAAGCACCGGCUAACUUCGAGCCAGCAGCUCGCAGUAAUACCAAGGGUGCAAGCGUUAAUCGGAAUUACUGGGCGUAUAGCGCGCGUAAGUGGUUUGUUAAGAUGGAUGUGAAAUCCCAGGGCUCAAUCUGGGCACUGCAUUCAAAACUGACUGACUAGAGUAUG
rnacentral:rRNA from 1 species